UCCUACGGGAGGCAGCAGUGGGGAAUCUUGCACAAUGGAGGAAACUCUGAUGCAGCGAUGCCGCGUGAGUGAAGAAGGCCUUUGGGUUGUAAAGCUCUUUUGUAGGGGAAGAUAAUGACUGUACCCUAAGAAUAAGGUCCGGCUAACUUCGUGCCAGCAGCCGCGGUAAUACGAAGGGACCUAGCGUAGUUCGGAAUUACUGGGCGUAAAGCGCGCGUAGGCCGUUGAGUUAGUUAAUUGUGAAAUCCCAAAGCUUAACUUUGGAACUGCAAUUAAAACUGCUCGACUAGAGUUUGAUAGAGGAAAGCGGAAUACAUAGUGUAGAGGUGAAAUUCGUAGAUAUUAUGUAGAACACCAGUUGCGAAGGCGGCUUUCUGGAUCAACACUGACGCUGAGGCGCGAAAGUAUGGGUAGCAAAGAGGAUUAGAUACCCUCGUAGUCCAUACCAUAAACGAUGAUUGCUAGAUGUGGAAAUUUAUUUCAGUAUCGCAGCUA
rnacentral:rRNA from 1 species